rnacentral:rRNA from 1 species
UGAGUAUCGCGUAGGGAUUUAUCGUUGGGUGGUGGAUAACCGCGGGAAACUGCGGCUAAUACAGCAUGACGCCUGUGGGCCAAAGGUCGCAAGACUGCCUGACGAGGAGCCUGCGUCCGAUUAGCUAGUUGGUUGGGUAAUGGCUGACCAAGGCUGUGAUCGGUAGCUGGUCUGAGAGGAUGAUCAGCCACACUGGGACUGAGACACGGCCCAGACUCCUACGGGAGGCAGCAGUGGGGAAUAUUGGACAAUGGG